AGAGUUGAUCAUGGCUCAGGAUGAACGCUAGCUACAGGCUUAACACAUGCAAGUCGAGGGGUAGCAGGGUAGCAAUACCGCUGACGACCGGCGCACGGGUGAGUAACACGUAUCCAACCUUCCCAUAACUCAGGGAUAGCCUUUCGAAAGAAAGAUUAAUACCUGAUAGUACUUUUUCAAGGCAUCUUAGAAAAAGUUAAAGAUUUAUUGGUUAUGGAUGGGGAUGCGUUCCAUUAGAUAGUUGGUGAGGUAACGGCUCACCAAGUCUUCGAUGGAUAGGGGUUCUGAGAGGAAGGUCCCCCACAUUGGUACUGAGACACGGACCAAACUCCUACGGGAGGCAGCAGUGAGGAAUAUUGGUCAAUGGGCGAGAGCCUGAACCAGCCAAGUAGCGUGAAGGAUGAAAGGUCCUAUGGAUUGUAAACUUCUUUUAUAGUAGAAUAAAGUGAUCCACGUGUGGAUUUUUGUAUGUAUACUAUGAAUAAGGAUCGGCUAACUCCGUGCCAGCAGCUGC
rnacentral:rRNA from 1 species